rnacentral:rRNA from 1 species
AGAGUUUGAUCCUGGCUCAGGAUGAACGCUGGCGGUCUGCUUAACACAUGCAAGUCGAACGGAGNNGAAAUACUUAGUGGCGGACGGGUGAGUAACGCGUGAGAAUCUGCCUUCAGGACGGAGACAACAGUUGGAAACGACUGCUAAGCCCCGAUGAACCGAAAGGGAAAAUAUUUAUAGCCUGAAGAUGAGCUCGCGUCCGAUUAGCUAGUUGGCGGAGUAAAAGCCCACCAAGGCGACGAUCGGUAGCUGGUCUGAGAGGACGAUCAGCCACACUGGGACUGAGACACGGCCCAGACUCCUACGGGAGGCAGCAGUGGGGAAUUUUCCGCAAUGGGCGAAAGCCUGACGGAGCAAUACCGCGUGAGGGAGGAAGGCUCUUGGGUCGUAAACCUCUUUUCUCAGGGAAGAACACAAUGACGGUACCUGAGGAAUAAGCAUCGGCUAACUCCGUGCCAGCAGCCGCGGUAAUACGGAGGAUGCAAGCGUUAUCCGGAAUGAUUGGGCGUAAAGCGUCCGCAGGUGGCGAUGUAAGUCUGCUGUUAAAGAGUGAGGCUCAACCUCAUAAGAGCAGUGGAAACUACAUAGCUAGAGUACGUUCGGGGCAGAGGGAAAUCCUGGUGUAGCGGUGAAAUGCGUAGAGAUCAGGAAGAACACCAGUGGCGAAGGNNNCUCUGCUAGGCCGUAACUGACACUGAGGGACGAAAGCUAGGGGAGCGAAUGGGAUUAGAUACCCUAGUAGUCC